UUUGAAAUUAUCUAUCUGAUGAUGAGUGCUAAGGUUAUCCCUGGAGAAAUUUGUUCAGAGGCAUUGAAGAUAAGUGCAGAAGUGAUGCAGUAAACUGAAAGAAGACUGCAUUGCUUCCCAUGGGAAAUGUCAUCUUUGUUGGGCUACUCAAUCAGGUUGUCUCAUUCUUAAUAGGAUAAUUAUUAUUGCUUAGUAUACAAGUGGUCAUUCUACUGGCGGAGAAUGAGUGCUCUACUUUCUUCGCCAGGUGCUGUGACUUCUGUUAAAAGGAAUAAUGAAGUCUAACAUCUGUUCAAAUUCAAAUGCAGACAUUCCCCCUUCCUCAAGAACUGGACUGUGAUGUGAAUUCAUUUUUGGAUGGGGGCAACUUCCUGCAGCCAGCUGGGAUUGUAUCAGGAGUUGGGCACUGAAGUGUGUAUGAGAGGUGACUACCAACCCAAUUACAAGGCGAAGUGUAGUUCCGAGCUGCUGUGUUGGUCAUCACUGAGGACUGUAUGAGUGCAGUGUUAGACUGAAGAAGGCUUACAGCAGAACUAUAAGUUGUAUUUUGUACAGAGUUUUGGGUCCCUCACUACAGGAAAGCCAUUGAGGCCCUGGGGCAUGUCCAGAGAAGGGCAACCAAACUGUGAAACAUUGUUUGGAACACACGUCUUCUGAAGAGCAGCUGAGGGAACUGGAAUUGUUCAGCCUGCGGAAGAGGAGGCUCACAGGGAGACACUGCCCUCUACUACUACUACCAUCUGAAAGAAGGUUAUGGUGAACUGGGAGCCGGUCUCUUCUCAUCAGUAUCUGGAGAAAGCCUCCCCCAAAUCCAGAGAACACUGAAUGGCAGGGAGUGUGGAUGGACUUUGGAGAGACCUUAGAGAAAUGGGCAGCCCUGGUGUGUUAAAGUUUCACUCCUGGACACCUACAGAACCCUGAAAUUUUAGGCAGCUUUGAGACAGAACGGUUGCAGCCUCAGCAAAUCUAAGGAGGAACAAAUUAUUUGGGGCCUGGCUCAUGUCUACAGAGCAAUGUUCAACACUAUUACAGAGACAGACAGAGUCUAAGCCUUUAUAAGCAGAUACUCACAGCUGGCCUCCUGGAAGGGAAGAGCGCUCUGCCCCAUCACUCAGAACUGGAAAUCACGUGAGUACUGGAAAACUGUCGUCUGGGAAGCGUAGUCUGUCUCUUCUCAGUUAUCUUCCUCUCAGAAAGCCAGAACUCACGUGAGAAUAGUUGAGACUGAUAGGAGCACAUGACCCGGGAAUCGUAGCGCUCCGGCACCAAACAGCUUGCUGCAUGAUGUCAUGAUAUGCAAUACUGAUAAACCAGGACAACAAGAAAUUAAAGAAUGUACAUUUUGGAACACAACUAGUUGCUGCGGACCUUAUGGUUGCACAAGUGCGAAUAAUCCUGGAUUAUUUCACAAGUGUGGUCUUUGUAACUAAGAGAGUAACAUUACUUCGUGCUGCUUCAGUCUAUGCAAAUCAAAAUAUGGAACUACAAUUAAUCCUCUAAGCAAAACUACUUACCAGAAUCUCCAAGCUCCUAUCACAUCAGUAACUAGUCAAGGUCCUGCCCCCGUGCAGAAAUGUUCAACCAUUUGCUGAAGAUAUCAUCUCACCUUUCAAGUUUUAGCUCUGGCUUCCAAAAACCACUGAAUGUGCCAUGGAGAAGAUGCAAAGUCACAGUGAUGCUGAGAGGGAACCUAACAAAGUUGGGCAGAUACACAGAAACCACAGCUGAAGCUGAUACUUGUCCUUUCUUUUUUGCUUCAGGAUCUCUGCAUUAUAAUGUGCUGCGGCAAAUUUCAAUGAAUCAUCUGAUCUUGUGUCAGAGCUGGAGUGUUCCCUGUUGUGUUGCCAACCUCCUUUCCUCAACUGACAUUUGAACAUUUUCCAGUAUUCUGGAUUCCUAGAAGAUUCAUCUGUGCCCUCAGUUGAAACAAUACUUAGCACCAAGAGUCUGCUGUGAUUGCUAUGAUUCCUUGCCCAUCCUUUCACUCGUGAAUUGUUGACUUCCCAAAAAGAAGAGCGGUUCUCAACAAGUGGGUCACAGACGAACCUCCCUGCUGAACAAACAACUACUUCAGCCAAUGUCUGCCUGCUACCAGCUCCCUCAAGAUGUGAAAAGAGAAUGGUGUGAGUAGCCUCAUUCCUGCCAGGCUGUUUCCUAAGAGCCCUUGAGUGGAAGUACACUGAUGAAACAAUGUAGGAAAUGACAAGCGAUGGGAAUAUGUCACACAGGAGGUCACAGCUAGGAGGCUCCUUGUAUAUCCAGUCACAAAGCUGGAUGCCAGUCCAUUACAUAAAGGGUGCAGAGAGGGAGACUGUUUGCUCAUCUAGCAUCUAAUAGCUACACCCAGCAGAUGGAGGGCUGGCACAGAAUAGGAAAGGGAACCGGUACCUAACACCUUCCAAUAACUUCCUAAAAACUGUUAAGUCAUCUGUAGACAAAAUGUUGGCUACUGCUGUUUUAGUUAUCUGAAUUACAGGCCUAGAUCAGUAGAAAAAUAAGUUCAAAAUGACUUGGUUGAAGCCAUUGUAUGUUGGAGCGAGAUUAUAUAUGAUUGAAAUAAUUUUGCUUAUGAAAUCCCUCUCUGGUGAGGAAGUCAACUCUCUGUGUGUGUGUGUAUAUAUAUAUAUAUAUAUAUAAAACACGUGUGUGUGCACAUAUGUAUAUAUAGACACAUAUAUGUAUUUUUCAAAAAGAAAUAUAUGCACAAAUAUACACACAUACACAUACAUAGAGUAUCCCAGCUCUAUGAUCUCUUCUUGCUAUAUUCACUGUAAGACUACAAAAGGCAUGCAUUUUUGAAUUGAGGCAAAUUAAUCUGUGCCAAAUUGCUUAGAAGAUCAUAACUGUACACAGCUUGUAGUAUGACUUGAUUUUUGUACUACAGUCAAAAUUUAUA